UGUAGUGUAAAGAGCUUUGAAUGGUCGGAAGACUAGAAAAGCGCUAUAUAAAAGCAAGUCCAUUUACCAUUUACAAAUAUCAACAAAUCAAACCCUUGUGCACAAUCUUCACCUUAUUUCACUAUCAGAUAAACAAAUACAGAUUGGUGUCAGAUAAGAUAAUACAAUCUGCACUUUUAUGUAUGCAACAUAUUUCACUAUCAGAUAAACAAAGAAAGAUUGAUGUCAGCUAAGAUGGUAGUUCAAAAUAACAUCAUGGAUAGGGUUGAAAUUGUUUUUUUUCUUGCUCAUUUGUAUAGACCUAUAAAUUAAAAUUGGCUAUGAAAACAAUAUAAUCUUUGACAUUUUCAACAAUAUAUACUGACCCAUGCUUAAAGUACAUGGGGGAAGGGGGUGAGAAUAACAGUUUGUGAGGGAGGAUGCUGCAAUGAUGGUAGUUCAAAAUAACAUCAUGGAUAGGGUUGAAAUAGUUUUUUCUAGAUCAUUUGUAUAGACCUAUAAAUUAAAAUUGGUUAUGAAAACAAUAUAAUCUUAGACAUUUUCAACAAUAUAUACUAAACCAUGUUUUAAAGCAAAUUGUACAUGGGUACAGGGGGUGAGAAUAACACAUCAGUUUGUGAGGGAGGAUGCUGCAAUGAUCCAGCUACUCACUCUACAACCUGACUGACUGAAUGACGUAACUGUAUUACCCGCUGCUUAUGCCAGAAAAGCAAAUGAGUUCAUCCACCUCCCAACAACAUCCUCACCCAUUACAUGUUUACAACGUUUUAGGGCCAUGUUGUGUAUAAAUGAAUGAAUAGUUUAAACAUAUAAUGUGGUCACUACCAGCUCCAGGUUUCUUGAAUAACAGAUAUCUGUGUCAACGUUUAGAGAGAUAAGGGCUGGAUAGCAACAGUGACGCUGUUGGGCCUAUAGAUACACAGCUCACUACAUCACAUUAUAUCACAUUAUUAAGUGAAAUAUGGUGACAACACAAGCAGAGACUAUUUAAAAACACAAUAAAAAUAGAGUUUGUUUCCGUUUAGCUGAGCUGGGUAGUGGCUGUUGCUCCAAACAGAUUGCUGUUAUGACAGUUAGCAGCUAGUUAGCCGGCUAGCUUUGGAUAUAUAAAGCUCUUCUUCUUCUUCUUCCAGAUGUUAUUAGCCGAGGAGGAGCAGGAAUGCUGAAGGGCAGAAAACACUGGGAGACGCUGUGUGUGGGGUAACAUCAGUCAGUACGGCAGUGAAGGCCGAUACAAAUUGCAAUGCAAAGGUGGACACAGAGAACAGGUGAAGGCAGUGCAUAUUUCACAGAGAUGUACAUGAUCGAUUACAUGUGUAAUCCGUAUUCUUCAUGUUUAUAAUCUAUCUAUAAUUUUGUCACCCUGACUACUGUAAUUGUAUUAUGUUGGUCUAUUCUGUACACACCACAUCUAUUGCAUCCCCUUUAGGAAAAUUUGUGAUAUUGGGCUUGAUUUAACUUGUAUUUAGCAAGUAUAUUUCCAAAAUGCUACUGAAUCUGUCUAAUGUCAAAGUUCAAUUUAAUGUCAUCUUUUUUUAAAAGGUGGUAUAAAUGUAGGUACAUGUGGAUGUGCAUGCACAUUUAUUGAGAGAGAGAGAAAUAGAGAAAGAAAUUUGCACAGGCCCUAGUGGUGUUUUAUUGGCUGCCAGGCAUUGCAAUGGCCCAAUGACAAGCGAGGGGUCGGUCUACAGUCUCUUCUCAUAGCAACCCAGGAAGCAUUCAGAGAUUAUCAUGCGCAGUAUCAGGGUGCCAGCAUGUAUCAGUGAUGACAUCUGACUCUUAACACAAUAAUUUACCAUCAUAAAACGGAGGGAUUGUCAUGUGAUUUCAGUAUGAAAUAUUGGAAGUGAAAAGCAGCUCAGUUGUAGUGUGUUGUAAAAGUCGAUUGUAGAUAAAAAAAAA